GCAGCAGCCGCGGUAAUACGAAGGGUGCAAGCGUUACUCGGAAUUACUGGGCGUAAAGCGUGCGUAGGUGGUGGUUUAAGUCCGUUGUGAAAGCCCUGGGCUCAACCUGGGAAUUGCAGUGGAUACUGGGUCACUAGAGUGUGGUAGAGGAUAGUGGAAUUUCCGGUGUAGCAGUGAAAUGCGUAGAGAUCGGAAGGAACAUCUGUGGCGAAGGCGACUAUCUGGGCCAACACUGACACUGAGGCUCGAAAGCCAGGGGAGCGAACGGGAUUAGAUACCCCCGUAGUCCCUGUCUCUUAUAC
rnacentral:rRNA from 1 species